CCCUACGGGGCGCAGCAGUCGCGAAACCUUUGCAAUAAGCGAAAGCUUGACAGGGCUAUCCCGAGUGCCAUCCGCUGAGGAAGGCUUUUACCCAGUCUAGAAAGCUGGGGGAAUAAGGAGAGGGCAAGUCUGGUGUCAGCCGCCGCGGUAAUACCAGCUCUUCGAGUGGUGUGGAUGUUUAUUGGGCCUAAAGCAUCCGUAGCUGGCUAAGUUAGUCCCUUGUUAAAUCCACCGAAUUAAUCGAUGGAUUGCGGGGGAUACUGCUUGGCUAGGGGACGAGAGAGGCAGACGGUAUUUUCGGGGUAGGGGUGAAAUCCUGUAAUCCA
rnacentral:rRNA from 1 species